rnacentral:ncRNA from 1 species
GGUUAUCAAAAUAAGCAUAAAUAAUUACAAUUUCGAGGGUCAAUAACAUGGAAGCGGAGGAAUUUAUCAGACAUUUGAAUGAAAAAUUAACGAUUUAAGACCUUCUUAAAUCAGGUCAUUUACCCAAAGAGGCUGCCAGGCCCGUAAAGCGUUAAUGAUUACUAGAAAACAUAUCCAAAGAGUCGUGUUGCUUGAUAGUUCAGCACUAGGUGGUUGGUAAACUCCAUCUAAAACUAAAUAUAACAAUGAGACCGAUAGUUAACAAGUACCGUGAGGGAAAGUUGAAAAGAACUCUGAAUAGAGAGAAGAGUACGUGAAACUGCUUAGAGGGUAAGCCCGAUGAAGCUGACUAUACAUACGGAAAAUUCAAUACUAUGACUGCGGCAUGAGCAAUACUGAGGGGAUGGUGUGCAUUUUUAUACCCUCCACCAUAGGAUGGGGGUAUACUAAUUUCGUAAUUCUGUAACUUCUCGAAAUAUUCGUCUAAGACCCCAUAGAGUAUAAAUAUUCUUGAUCGUCGUGACAUUUUAAGUCGAACUAGCCAUGUCCGUCCGUCCGCAAACUUUUGAAGGAGUAAAGCUAGCCGCUUGAAAUUUUGCACAAAUACUUUUUAUAGGUGUAGGUCGGUUGGGAUAGUAAAUGGGCCAAAUCGGUCCACGUUUUGAUAUAGCUGCCAUAUAAAUCGAUCUUGGGUCUUGACUUCUUGAGCCGCUAGAGGGCACAAUUCUUAUCCGAUUUGACUGAAAUUUUGCAUGAGGUGUUUUAUUAUGACUUGCAACAACUGUGCUGAGUAUGGUUGACAUAGGUCCAUAACCUGAUAUAGCUGUCAUAUAAACCUAUCAGGGUCUUGACUUCUUGAGCGUCUAGAGUGCGCAAUUCCCAUCCGAUUUGGCUGAUAUUUUGCACGACAUGUUUCGUUAUGACUUGCAACAACUGUGUUAAGAAUAGUUCAAAUCGAUCCAUAGCCUGAUAUAGCUGCCAUAUAAACCGAAAUGAGGUCUUGACUUCUUGAGUCACUAGAGGGCGCAAUUAUUAUCCGAUUUGGCCAAAAUUUUACAUGAGGUGUUUUGUUAUGACUUCCAACAACUGUGUUAAGAAAAAUGCAAAUCGGUCCAUAGCCUGAUAUAGCUGCCAUAUAAACCGAUUUGGGGUCUUGACUUCUUGAGCCACUAGAGGGCGCAAUUAUUAUCCGAUUUAGCUGAAAUGUUGCAUGAGGUGUUUUGUUAUGACUUCCAACAACUGCAUUAAGAAUGGUUCAAAUCGGUCCAUAACCUGAUAUAGCUGCCAUAUAAACCGAUCUGGGGUCUUGACUUCUUGAGCCACUAGAGGGCGCAAUUAUUAUCCNCCAUAACCUGAUAUAGCUGCCAUAUAAACCGAUCUGGGGUCUUGACUUCUUGAGCCACUAGAGGGCGCAAUUAUUAUCCGAUUUAGCUAAAAUUUAGCAUAAGGUGUAUAUUUAUAUUAUUUAUGCCUUUGUACCUUAAGCAUAUAUGCUGUGACCCGAAAGAUGGUGAACUAUACAUGAACAGGUGGAAGUCGGGGGAAACCCUGCUGGAAGACCGAAACAGUUCUGAUGACCAAAUCGAGUGUCAGAAUUGAGUAUAGGGGCGAAAGACCAAUCGAACCAUCUAGUAGCUGGUUCCCUCUAAAGUUUCUCUCAGGAUAGCUGGUGCAUUUAAAAAUUAUGUGAAAUAAUCCUAUCUGGUAAAGCGAAGGAUUUGAGGCCUAAGGGUCGAAACGACCUUAAUCUAUUCUCAAUCUUUAAAAGGGUAAGAACCUCACCUUUCUUAGUAUGAAGGUUGUGAUAUUAUGUGCCCAGUGGGCCAUUUUUGGUCAGCAGAACUGGCGCUGUGGGAUGAACCAAUCGUAAUGCUACCGUGCCAAAUUAACAACUCAUGAAAAAGCCAUAAAAACGUUGGUUGGUUAAAACAGCAGGACGUUGGACAUGGAAGUCGUAAUCCGCAAAGGAGUGUGUAACAACUUAUCUUCCGAAGCAAUUAGCCCUUUAAAUGGAUAGCGCUUAAGUUGUAUACCUAUACAUAACCGCUAAAAUAAUGAGUAGAAGGGUACAAUGAUGUGCAUGGAAGUGUUUGGCGUAAGCCUGCACGGAGCUGCCAUUGGCACAAAUCUUGGUGGUAGUAGCAAAUAAUCGAAUGAGACCUUCGAGGACAGUAGUGGAGGAGGGUUUUGUGUGAACAGUGGUUGAUCACUAGUUAGUCGGCCUUAAGUUCAAAUCGAAAGCUGAAAUUUUUCAAAUUAUAAUAACAAAAAAAAAUAUGAGAAUUACAAUUGAAAGAGUAAUUAUACACUUGCAUAAUUUUGAAUGAAAGGGAAUACGGUUCCAAUUCCAUAACCUGUUGAGUAUCCGUUUGUUAUUAAAUAUGGGCCUUGCGCUCAACUUGAUGAAGAUGAAGCUUUUAGAAGAGCUCUCAAUCAUUCAAUUCACCAAGGCCUGAUGGAGUGUUUCAGGUGUUACUGCAGAAAAAGGCAGUUAACCGGUAGGCAGUUUAAAGCGUGUCUGGGACUUCAAAAGCGUGGCAGGAGGCAAGAAUGGAUAUUUAUGCCUAAGCCAGUUAUGCGCCCCAAAGGCCUAUUGGCCUAAAAACCUUCAGUC